rnacentral:lncRNA from 1 species
GGCGUUCUCGUUCUUCCCUUUCUUUUGAUUCACGGAGUGAAACACUGAGGUUGGCUAUCUCAGCCUCAAGCGUCUCUCUUAUCUCCUUCUUUUGUUUUGUGGCGAGCUUCCACCAUUUCUCUUUCUCACGACAAUCCUUCUUAGCCUAUUUCAAUUGGCUUUUGACGGUAUUCAAGCAGCUGUCAGCCUAAUCUAACCCAUGCUUGACUCUUUUUCUCUUAUACUCUUCCUUAUCCACCUUUUCCACAUUUACCUAAAGUUGCGCUUUAUUCCUCUCAAGUUUCCAUUUAAACUCAUUCUUUUCAUUAGUGACUAGGUGUAGGUUCUUUAACAACUUUUCAUUUUUCUUUGUAAGUUUCUCUAAAGAAGCUUGGAGUCAUUCUGCCUCCUCAAUUGGGACAUGAGUAGGUUUAGGCUCGGUAAGAGGACCAGACGUCUCUAUUUUGAAAGGCAUCUUGAUUGAUCUUACUCUUUCUUUUAUCCAUUGAAAGUAUGGCUCUUUUGUGAUACAAUUCUUCUUUCCUAGGUCAGCCUUACCUUUCCUAUUGACCUUUUCCCAUGCCUUCUUGAUCCUUGCAAACAAAGUCGGAU